GUUGUGUUAGUACUUUAUUGUUGUGUUUUAAAAAUUAAAGCCAAAUAGUAUCAUGACCAACUUCCAACGGAGCUUGUUUAUGUUAUCCAUGCCUACCGUCAUUUUGCACCAAAUUUAUGAAAUUUUGCAAGUCUUUUCGAAUAAUUCUCUACAAAAUAUUUCAAUAAGUUUCAAAAUUUAUAUUGUAAAUAUACACACUGCAGUUAUUCAUAGAUAAAUAAAAAAAUAUAUUGUAUCCUUACAUCCAAUCACAGCGCUCCUAAUUUGACUUCCUUCACCUGC
rnacentral:lncRNA from 1 species